GUGAGUGGGGCCUUCAUGGAUUCCCCGUACAAUGGCAACACGUCCCUCCAGACCUCCACCUCCAACCUCAAUGCCAACUUCUCCCGGCCGACCGAGGCGGAAGAGGAGGGCAAGUAUUCCAGCGACGCCAUCUGGCUUUGGGUAGCCGUCAUUGCAACCAUCGGCAACAUAGUAGUGGUAGCAGUGGUUUGCGCCUGUGCCUUCUAAGACCCGUUAGUUACAAGCACACAGCCGAACCUCCCUCUGCCACCUUUUCCCCCUCAACCUAUCCCUGUAUUCAUUUUCAUCUUGUAUGUGUCCAUCCAUAAUAUUAAAGCCAAGGCCCUGUUCUGAGGGUCGACGGAAUAUGAUAGUGAAAAUAUAGGGAUUGAUUUAACUGAUGUUCUGUAGGACUAUGAAUGCGUUUUAAAGUCUAGGAAUGAGAGAGGGACAAUCCUCUGGAGUUACCAUACUGUAUCUUACCUAAAGCCUAUGUCUCCCACUGUGUUAUUUUUUUAAUGAGAAACGGGGAAGUGAGCUGAUGUGGGCUGUGCCUUUGUAUAAUGAACAUUUUGUAAAUGAGUUAUGGAAAUGGACAUUAUAUAAAGCAGCUGAGUGAGCCUCCCUUCUGCUUUCCAAUCGGAGGGCUGCCCAGAGGUCAGCCUAAAGGAUUAGGGAAGUGUACAGCUGUGAGAUCCCCUCUGCCUGUGAACCUGAACAGAACACCACAUCAUAUAUCUUUGUCUGGUUGAUGUCAUGUGCCUGUUUGUCUGAAAUGAAUGUGUUAAUGUUGCUGUCUUGGUCCAGGUCUCUCUUGAAAAUGUGAUUUUUAUCUCAAUGAGACUAACCUGGUUAAAUAAGGGUGAUAUAAAUAUACACCAAAUCAGCAGUCCUCGUUGUGGUUGGACCCUGUCUCGGAGAACAGUGGAGAGAUAUGUGACAGAUGGUGGCUGGUAGGGGUGCCGAGGGGACAGCGGAGGGGCCCAAGGCAGACUUGGCAGUACCCCCAGUACCCGGUGUUCUUUCCUGCGACUCCUGCACCCCUGCACUACCAUUCACCAUUACUGCUCUGUCCUGUCCUCAUCAGCCUCUGUGAUAGAAAUCUCCCCAAGCACUUUAUAAAACCCAAUAAACCUGGGAGCUUUCUUCCAUUUUAACUGCAGUGUUCAGUGCCCACCUGUUGCAUCUCUGCAGUGGCUGUAGACCUGUGCCAGUUUAACUAUGCAGUGAUGACAUCCCACUGGGCACACACUGGUUGAAUCAAAGUUGUUGCCACGUCAUUUCACUGAAAUGUCCCCACUGGGAUAGCUGUGGAUAAUGUAUAUAAGUGAGACCGAUGUAUACAAACACAGUGUCACCCACAAGCCAAAUGAGGGAAUUAAGUUGUCAGCACAAAUCUUAUGUUAUACCACCCCUGCUGACAUUAUCUGCAAUUACGGAGCCACCAAUUACAUCGCACUAAAUCAUUGAGCCACCCACCAUGACCAGACUAUCCCAAAUGACCAGACCGCUGCUACGAAGGCCCCAAACUGUUGAGCUAGCAAUUAAAUGAUUUUGCUCCUGUCAUAAGAAACCCCAUUGCUGUUAACAUUAGUUUUUUGUUGUUGUUGUGCCAGGCAGGCAGAAUCUCACAUUCACCUCAGAUUGUCUCCCAGUAGACUAGUGUGUGUAGGUGGCAGCCUCCCCAGUAGUUCUGUGCUGUGCUGUCUCCCAUGCACCCAGGGGAGUAGGGCCACAGACUUGUCAAAUGGCAGGGCUGUAAUGAGAUGUAAUGCCUCUCUCUCUCUCUCUCUCUCUCUCUCUCUCUCUCUCUCUCUCUCUCUAUCUCUCUGUCUCUCUCUCUAUCUCUCUCUGUCUCUCUAUCUCUUUCCUAAAGUGAACACUGACCUCCCAGUUGUGCUGCGGUGAUCAGAGCAGAUCUGAUCCCUGCUGCACUCGGCUGCUCUGAACAAAGAUAGUGCUUCAAAGUGCAUUUUUAGAGUGUGACUUCCUCAUUUAAUCAGCACUCGUUGUGAUUUAAAGGGAGAGGAGGAGGAGAGAGGAGUGACUGCAUGGGAUUUGAUUUAUAACAGCCAACUUCCAUGUCAUCGCUUUGAAUUACAGGACUUUUUUUGAAGUACAAUGUAAAAUAGAUUUUUUUAAAAUUGAAACCAACGAAGUGGAAUAAAAGGGUUUAAGAUGGAGAGAUUUAAGAUCAAAAGUCUGGCUGAGACAUCACUUCACACAGCUAAUUGCCCUGAUCUCACUGUACAGUAGAGUUAAUGAAAACAAGAGACAGAUUCAUCAUGGCAUCUCUGAGCGGUCCUUUUCAGGUUCCUUAGAGAGCUUAGUCAGAAGAAACCUGUGGGAACAGUAAUGUCUCUUACAAUAAACAACAAACCAAAAAAACGCUCGUUUUUUAUUGCACAGUAUGGGGUCAUAAGUAUCUGCUGGCAAUAACUCAAGAUGACGCUAACAAGUUAGUAUGAUACAUCCCCACUAUAUGUAGUUACUUUAAUACUAUUCUGAAGCAACAUUCAUAUGAACUAGGUGAGUAAUCCCAGUUAGCUAUAAUAGGAAUUUCUCCUACCCUUGUGCCGGCUGUGUGCUUUGAUGUGGGACUGGUUAAGGCUCAGGUGCCCACUGUCUACGGCUCGAAUUAUGUGCCUGAACUGACUAACACAACUCCUACCCAUCAACUGCUUAUUGACCAUGGACGCCCCUUGACCACCAUGGAUGAUGGUCCUCCUAAACACGACAAGACGUCAUCACAGCCUCAAGCCCAGACUCCCAGGAAUUGCCCAUCCUUCCUCGGCCCCCAGGAACAUAUUGGCUCAUUAAAGCAGACUUCCUGUAUCCUCAGUACAGCAGAGACAGUAUGGGUGACUAGGGACUGUGACUUUUUAUAAAAGCACCUAUAGGGAACACAUAAAGACUACAUGGGGGCUAGGAGGGAUAUUAUGGAAGAGGUGGGACUUAUUCAUGACUUCAACAAAUAAUACCAUAUCUUAUCCAAGGUUUCUUGUAGUUGACUUUAUUUGGAAUGUGCUGUGACUCAUAACACUGAAAGAACAUAGGAAGUGAAACCACACUAGGAAAAGAGCAACAUCCUUCUGGAGUCCUGUACGUCUUGUUUUGAAAUGGAUUUCUGACAGCGAUUCACACAUUCAUUGCAAUGAAUGAAUGGAUAUACAUCCACUUCGUUGACUCUGGACACUUGGAUCUACUUUUCUGUGCAUCCAGUUGCAGGGUUGUAUGUUCUGAUACCUCCCUGUCGGUGUCAGGGUUACCGCUAUGAAAUACUGAUUAUCAAAAGGCCAUUGGCUAAAUACAGUCACUGGUGUUAGUUAAAUUCAUUCACAAUGUUCAUUCACAAAAGCAUUCUAUAACAGUUACUUCAUACAAAAUACUGCACAGAGUCACAUUACUGCAAUGUGUUUUAAAUGACGUUUCUAGGGGGGGGGAUACUUAUUGUCUUGACUUUCCAUAAAUAUAUGGCCUACAUUCCUUGUUUACACAAGGAAGUGAAACAUUAGGGUUUUCUUUUGAUUUCACUGUGUGUAAUCAUGAUUGCAGUGUACAGUAUAAGCACUAUGAAAGUUAUUGAAACCCGUUUUUAUUUUGAACCUGAUAUUUGAGGCUCGUUAUUAUUUUGUUCCCAUGCUAGAUUAACCAAAACACACACACACACACAUUGUGGCUUGCAUUACAGGAGCCAGGAUUCAAUACGUGUACCUUAUAAGGAUAAUGGUUGUGUACACGUCAGUAAAUUAGACCAGCUCUGUUGUUCAUAUGUUAGUCCCAACAUCCAAGCCAUGUGUGCAUGCUCAUUGGAAAGACAUCUUAAUAUGGAAAACACUUAAAUGCAGCUGGUGUGAGACCACAUGACAGUUCAACAAUGAUCAUUUUCUUGUGUUUUCAAUUUCUAUUGUGAUAUUUUGAUUUAGUAUAAGCUUACUUACUUAGCUUGUUUGCAUGUGUUGGAUUACUUUCAUCCCAACAUUUUGUUAGUUGACUACUCUGCAAGCUGCGUUCCAGUAAGGGAUAAAUCAUGUCAAAUUCAUGAUCUUAUUUGAUGGAAUAUUGAUUGAAUGAUGAAUUACUUUGUACAUGAACAAAUAUGUAGAACUAAUGUUUAUUCGUUUGAGGAAUAUUUUUUGUAAACUUUUUAUCGAUCGUGUACUUUUUCCCCAAUGUUUUAGUUAAUUCAGUCAGUGCAGAAACAUUGCUGCUACAAGUCUUGAUUUAUUUAUUUUAUAUUUUUACACACUUGCAUGCGAACAGGAAAGCUUAGAAGUAAAUGUGUUUUUACCUGCAUAAUUAAAAAUCUAUAUUGUCUGUUAACCUCAUGAUUUACCAUCCUUUAUAAUUCAAUUAAAUUGAUAAGAAUGUGAAAA